rnacentral:rRNA from 1 species
AUUGAACGCUGGCGGCAUGCCUUACACAUGCAAGUCGAACGGCAGCACGGGGCAACCUGGUGGCGAGUGGCGAACGGGUGAGUAAUGCAUCGGAACGUACCUUUCAGUGGGGGAUAACGUAGCGAAAGUUACGCUAAUACCGCAUAUUCUGUGAGCAGGAAAGCAGGGGAUCGCAAGACCUUGCGCUGAUUGAGCGGCCGAUGUCAGAUUAGCUAGUUGGUGAGGUAAAGGCUCACCAAGGCGACGAUCUGUAGCGGGUCUGAGAGGAUGAUCCGCCACACUGGAACAGAGGCACGGUCCAGACGGCUACGGGAGGCAGCAGUGGGGAAUUUUGGAAAAUGGGGGCAACCCUGAUCCCGCCAUGCCGCGGGAGAGAAGAAGGCCUUCGGGUUGUAAAGCUCUUUCGGCCGGGAAGAAAUCGCACGGGCUAAUACCCUGUGUGGAUGACGGUACCGGAAUAAGAAGCACCGGCUAACUACGUGCCAGCCGCCGCCGUAACAC